rnacentral:lncRNA from 1 species
UGUGCCCUCAUGCAGCGUGCUGUGUAUUGCAAACUUAUUUCUUCUUAGUACAAAGAUGUAUAGUUUUUAAUACAAAGAUGUAUAGUUUUCAUGUGUAUUGGAGGAGAAAAGGAGUAAAGGACAGCAUAUCUAUCAGUAAGUGAGAAUACGGUCGUCUCUCCUCUUGAGUUAAAUGUGUGCAGUACAAUGAUUCAACACGGAAUGAGCCUAUACCAUGAUGAUACAAAGGCGACACGUACUUUGUUAUAACUGACAAAGCAUUGAGGUUCUAUUGAUCUCCUAUUACAAGCUAAUCUCUCCGUCCCAAAUUACUAU